GUAAUCAAAAGCUUAUUAAUUGUAAGCCAGCAUGAAAGAAUGAACCCAAAUUCACUUUUUUUUUUCCAAUAAAGAAAUUAAAGAAAUUUAAAAAAUAAUUUCCAAUUCAUUAGACGAGAAGACCCUAAAAACUAAUUAAAAAAAUAAUUUUUUGGGGAAAAUAAAAAUUAUUAAUCUAUUUAUUUAAUAUUAUAAAAACUAAAAAAUAAGUUACUUUAGGGAUAACAGAACAAUUUUCAAAAAAAGAUCUGAUUGAAUUGAAAAAUUGUGACCUCGAUGUUGGAUUCUUAAAUCUCUAAGCCGCAGUAGGCUUGGAAGACUAGACUGUUCGUUUUUUAAAUUAAA
rnacentral:rRNA from 1 species